rnacentral:misc_RNA from 1 species
GCGUCCGCAGUGCCUCGAGGAACCGCAUUGAUGCACGAGAGCAUAAAUAUCGACAUCGAAAUGGUACAGUCCGAAUACAAUUAUGAUAAUAAACAUUGGUCUUCUGCUAGCUGCUGCAGUGUUGACCGGCCGGUGUGUUAAAAUUUUCCUUCUGGAGUUGAGCGAAGAUUAUACGAUUCAGGAACGUCGAUCGUGCCAAAAUAAUUCGUAGUCAGCCAUGUCGGCAGCUCAUCAGUGCCCUGUGUAUUAAAUCAGCUGCAGCAUCGUGGCACCGAUCUAUCUGUCCUCAAUUUGUAAACACGGAGCAAGGAUUUUCGGUGCUUUUGGGAAGAGUCAUGUCUUCGAUUUCCGGGUCAAGGCGUGGCAGUACUGUGAGUGAACAUUCGCGGGCUCGAUCAGUUCACAUAGGGAGGACAUCCAACUCAAAGUGGCUGAUUCGCACAGUUGCCGAGUUUUGCCAGCAGAUUGCCGUCAUCUAUGAGCACUUUGCCAUCAACCUGCAGUCACUGGUGGAAUCCUUCAAGGAGCAGACGCUCAGCAAAGAUGGGAUGUGUGGCUAUCGUUGGUUUGAAUCCGCUUGGGAGGACCUUCUAGAACAGUAUGCUGUCGUCUCGUCGGAUUACUUUGAUCUGGCCCACAACCUUGAGUGCGGCGUCACCAACUCACUACAGGAGGCCGCUGUUCACAAGCACGCCUUCCUGGACGACGUCGUCCAUCACCGCGACAGCCUACGGCAAGAGAUGAAAUCCAAGGACUCCAAUCUGCUGAAGACAGAGAAGGAGUACGCUGAAGCUUGGAAGAAGAUGGCUCAGGAUGGCAACGGAAACAUUAAGAGUCCCAACACAGCGUUAUGUUACAACAAGCACAAUGGUUAUGUGCUAGAAUUGGCCGGUCUCAACAAGUUCAACGAGAGCGUACAUGCCACAGUCUUGCCAUCAUUAAGCAGGGAAAUUGAGCGAGUCCACAGCGAGAUUGCCGAUCUUGUCAUCCAGGGGCUCAUCAAACAUGCGCAGCUGACGAAGUCAAAGCUUAGUGUGCACGGUAAUCACAUGGAUGCAGUGGUCCGUGCACUGCAAGACAUUGAGGUGUCAGGCGAAUCCGUGCAUUCACCAUCCGAGAAGGAACCGAGGCGUUACAGUUUUGUCAAACCGGAUCACAGUGCAUCUAGGGACUUUGUUGAGACCAAGCUAGUGAUGAAUUUAGCCACAGGGAGGGUGCUGCGUGACAAACAUGAGACUCUGGUCAGGGAGGUGAAUGAUUUGGAGAGAAGAAUAAACACGGAAAAGGAAAUCUUGAUGAAACUGACUAAGCAGCAUGACAAUAUCAGAGCUAACCAGCAGCAUGCCAAGGCAGCCGAGUUUCUGAAAAAGAUUGCCAACCACAAGUACGACUUGCAACGAAGUGAAGUGUUUCUGGAAAGCAAACGAGCACAGCUACAACUAUUUACUCGGGACAUUUUGAGCUGGAAGCUCAGCAACGGCCAUGCUGUGAUGCCUGGCAACGGCGAACACUCUGGACAAUCGUCGGUGUCCUCGGAAGCCAAGGAUUCAUUCUCAGACUUGCUGGACAACGGCAGGAGAGUGCAUUGUUUCCAGGAGUACAACUUUAAGAAGCCGACAUUUUGUGAUAAUUGCAGAGGACUCCUGAAAGGAAUACUGAAGCAAGGUCUCCGAUGCAAGUUGUGCAAAGCCAACGUGCACCACAGGUGCCAAGACGGCAUACCUGCAUGCAAAGGAGGCAUGGAGAAACCCAACAGAGUGUUUCGCCGGCAAGCAAGCGUUCGUGACAUCAAACCACUAGUUGACAAGAAAAAGCUCUUACGUCGCCAGAAAAGUUCUUCCGAGCUGGAGAUUCCCAGACAGUAUGACUCCAAUGUGGAUCCAGUCUAUGAAGCUAUCAAGUGCGCUGCUAGUCUCUCCAAUGCCAGUAGUAGCUCCUACAUCGAUACGUCUCCCCGUCCCAGCCUGGUAUCCAACACCUCGGCGACCACAGCUCACCAGUCGGGUUCCUCUCUCAGCGGCUCUCAUUCCAGUGGAAGCACCAACUCCCUGUUUCCAGAAAGUCGGGAUCUAGACAAGUCUAAAUCGGCUCCACACAGUCCGAGUUCAACAUCCACUAGACGUAAGAUACUGGAGACGUACGGCAAGAGCAUGUCCUUGGACACAGAACCUUUCAUCAAGUCCAAGCUCCAAUGAUCAAGACUUUGUGGCUUUGUAUAACUUUGAAGGCAUGAUGAGAGACGACUUGUCUCUGAGAGCCGGCGAUCGUGUCCAUGUGAUUGAUAAAAGAAGUACAGAGUGGUGGAA